rnacentral:ncRNA from 1 species
GGUACCCUCAGCCCGGUCGGCAAUCGGGCAGCGAGCGCAAAGGUAGAAGGGUGCUUGACUGCGAGACCCAUAAGUCGAGCAGGGACGAAAGUCGGACUUAGUGAUCCGGCGGUGCUGGAUGGAAAGGCCGUCGCUCAACAGAUAAAAGGUACUCCGGGGAUAACAGGCUAAUCUCCUCUGAGCGUUCACAGCGGCGAGGAGGUUUGGCACCUUAACAUUGGGGUGCUGCACGAGUAAUCGUGUACCAAUAAAUCGGCUGUAACGGUGAACCCGUCAGCAGUUCAUGUGAAUUGAACCUUGCCAUGCGCAAGGUCAAAUCGAACUGCCCGGCAACGCCGUGGGAAGUUCUCCCGCCAGUUGGAUCUUGUCAAUUUGCAAUUCCCAUUGCAGUUUUCAUUUUACAAUUGGUCCGGUGAACCCCGUAACGACUGACCCGAAAGGGAAGGCUUGGAGCGCAAGCUCCAGGCAACACGCCGACUCCUGUCUAAACAAGUCAGAUCAUGCUCGAAAGCUUCCAGCGCAGCGCUGAAGCCGAGAGCUAAAAUCGACGACAGGAUGAAGACAUAGUCUACGCCAUGCGAAAGCAUGGAAACGCGUACGAUGUCGGCUCAUCGCAUCCUGGGGGUGGAGAAGCUCCCAAGGGUUUGGCUGUUCGCCAAUGAAAGCGGUACGUGAGCUGGGUUUAGACCGUCGUGAGACAGGUCGGUCCCUAUCUGCUGCGGGCGUAGGAGACUUGCGGAGCUUUCUCCCUAGUACGAGAGGAUUGGGAGGGACGUACCUCUGGUGUUCCAGUUGUCCCGCUCGGGGCAGCGCUGGGUAGCUACGUACGGCCCGGAUAAACGCUGAAGGCAUAUAAGCGUGAAACCCCCUCCAAGAACAGGUCUCCCGCCCUUUUAGGGCAUAGGCUCCUGGAAGACCACCAGGUAGAUAGGCUGGGAGUGUAAGUGCAGCAAUGCACUCAGCGGACCAGUACUAACAGCCAAGCGCUUGGCCGC